rnacentral:rRNA from 1 species
UCCAGACUCCUACGGGAGGCAGCAGUGAGGAAUAUUGGUCAAUGGGCGAGAGCCUGAACCAGCCAAGUCGCGUGAAGGAUGAAGGAUCUAUGGUUUGUAAACUUCUUUUAUAUGGGAAUAAAGUGAGGAACGUGUUCCUUUUUGUAUGUACCAUAUGAAUAAGCAUCGGCUAACUCCGUGCCAGCAGCCGCGGUAAUACGGAGGAUGCGAGCGUUAUCCGGAUUUAUUGGGUUUAAAGGGUGCGUAGGUGGUUAAUUAAGUCAGCGGUGAAAGUUUGUGGCUCAACCAUAAAAUUGCCGUUGAAACUGGCGUUCUUGAGUGGGCGAGAAGUAUGCGGAAUGCGUGGUGUAGCGGUGAAAUGCAUAGAUAUCACGCAGAACUCCGAUUGCGAAGGCAGCAUACCGGCGCCCAACUGACGCUGAAGCACGAAAGCGUGGGUAUCGAACAGGAUUAGAUACCCCAGUA